AUUGAACGCUGGCGGUAUGCUUAACACAUGCAAGUCGAACGGUAACAGGCAAAAGCUUGCUUUUGUGCUGACAAGUGGCGGACGGGUGAGUAACGCGUAGGAAUCUGCCUAGCAGUGGGGGACAACCUGGAGAAAUUCAGGCUAAUACCGCAUACGCCCUACGGGGGAAAGAUGGGGAUCUCUUCGGAGACCUGUCACUGUUAGAUGAGCCUGCGUCGGAUUAGCUUGUUGGUAGGGUAAUGGCCUACCAAGGCGACGAUCCGUAACUGGUCUGAGAGGAUGACCAGUCACACUGGGACUGAGACACGGCCCAG
rnacentral:rRNA from 1 species